rnacentral:rRNA from 1 species
UACGUAGGGUCCGAGCGUUGUCCGGAAUUACUGGGCGUAAAGAGCUCGUAGGUGGUUUGUCGCGUUGUUCGUGAAAACUCACAGCUCAACUGUGGGCGUGCGGGCGAUACGGGCAGACUAGAGUACUGCAGGGGAGACUGGAAUUCCUGGUGUAGCGGUGGAAUGCGCAGAUAUCAGGAAGAACACCCGUGGCGAAAGCGGCUCUCUGGAACGGUACUGACGCUGAGACGCGAAAGCGUGGGGAGCGAACAGG